CAGUAGCCGCGGUAAUACGAAGGGUGCAAGCGUUACUCGGAAUUACUGGGCGUAAAGCGUGCGUAGGCGGUGAGUUAAGUCUGCUGUGAAAUCCCCGGGCUCAACCUGGGAAUGGCAGUGGAUACUGGCUCGCUAGAGUGUGUCAGAGGAUGGUGGAAUUCCCGGUGUAGCGGUGAAAUGCGUAGAGAUCGGGAGGAACAUCAGUGGCGAAGGCGGCCACCUGGACUGAUACUGACACUGAGGUGCGAAAGCGUGGGGAGCAAACAGGAUUAGAUACCCGAGUAGUCCCUGUCUCUUAUAC
rnacentral:rRNA from 1 species